GCUAGCGGUGGACAUUGUAAAAGACUCUACAGCAGGUCUCUUAAAGCAGAUUAGCAGUUAUUAAAACUACCCACUGUUUUUAUAUUUUUUGAAUAUUAACAUGGGGGUGGAAGCCCCUAUAUAUCAUGCAUCUCCCCAUGGAAAAUAGAAUAUUGCUUGGUUUAUAAAAGAAUGCUCAUGAAAAUAGACAGAUUGUCUCCAAAACAAAUCAGAGUUAGUUAUUGCCCAUCUUUGUUACUACACAGUAAGGUAAAGAAAUCUAAACAAUGUGAGAUUUUUCUUGCUAAACAAAUAAAUAAAUAAAAACACCAAAUCCUAUUAUUUCCAUUUGAGAAUCAAAUGAUAUUGAUGAUUUUGAAAAACUGCUUUUCAGAGCCAAUGCAAUUUUCUUCACUUCAGUGUAUGAUAGCAAAUAAUCUAAUAUUUUAUAAUCUGUGAUAGUUUGGUAAUAUCGUUUUUUCCACUGAGUUUUAAGUGACUAAUAUUAUUGUAUAUUCUUAUAUUUGAUAGCCCUGGAAGAUAUUUCCCUUUACACUAAUUAAAUACAUAUAUUUGGAGAUCCUAAUGAGCAAAU
rnacentral:lncRNA from 1 species